rnacentral:tRNA from 1 species
GCGAAAGUGGCGGAAUUGGUAGACGCACUGGACUUAGGAUCCAGUUCCAUCCGGAGUGGGGGUUCGAAUCCCCCCUUUCGCACCA